rnacentral:rRNA from 1 species
GGCACUGCCCGGUAGCUAAAUGCGGAAGAGAUAAGUGCUGAAAGCAUCUAAGCACGAAACUUGCCCCGAGAUGAGUUCUCCCUGACUCCUUGAGAGUCCUGAAGGAACGUUGAAGACGACGACGUUGAUAGGCCGGGUGUGUAAGCGCAGCGAUGCGUUGAGCUAACCGGUACUAAUGAACCGUGAGGCUUAACCUUACAACGCCGAAG